rnacentral:rRNA from 1 species
UACAGAGGUCCCGAGCGUUGUUCGGAUUCACUGGGCGUAAAGGGUGCGUAGGUGGCUUGGAAAGUUUGAUGUGAAAGCUCAGGGCUUAACCCUGAAAUGGCAUUGAAUACUGCCGGGCUGGAGGUUUGGAGGGGGGACUGGAAUUCUUGGUGUAGCAGUGAAAUGCGUAGAGAUCAUGAGGAAGACCAGUGGCGAAGGCGGGUCUCUGGGCCGAUACUGACGCUGAGGAGCGAAAGCGUGGGGAGCGAACAGG